rnacentral:rRNA from 1 species
GUGCCAGCCGCGGCGGUAAUACGUAGGGAGCAAGCGUUGUCCGGAUUUACUGGGUGUAAAGGGUGCGUAGGCGGCUUUUUAAGUCGGGCGUGAAAGCUGUGGGCUUAACCCACAAAUUGCGUUCGAAACUGGAAGGCUUGAGUGAAGUAGAGGUAGGCGGAAUUCCCGGUGUAGCGGUGAAAUGCGUAGAGAUCGGGAGGAACACCAGUGGCGAAGGCGGCCUACUGGGCUUUAACUGACGCUGAGGCACGAAAGCAUGGGUAGCAAACAGGAUUAGAUACCCUGGUAGUCCAUGCCGUAAACGAUGAUUACUAGGUGUGGGGGUCUGACCCCUUCCGUGCCGGAGUUAACACAAUAAGUAAUCCACCUGGGAGUACGGCCGCAAGGUU